rnacentral:rRNA from 1 species
UACGGAGGGUGCAAGCGUUUGUCCGGAAUCACUGGGCGUAAAGGGCGCGUAGGCGGCUCAUGAAGGCUGUGGUGAAAGUCCGGGGCUCAACCUCGGAUCGGCCGUGGCGACUCGUGGGCUGGAGCACUGUAGAGGCGGGUGGAAUUCCGGGUGUAGCGGUGGAAUGCGUAGAGAUCCGGAAGAACACCAGUGGCGAAGGCGGCCCGCUGGGCAGUGGCUGACGCUGAGGCGCGAAAGCGCGGGGAGCGAACGGG